UAGAGUUUGAUCCUGGCUCAGGAUGAACGCUAGCUACAGGCUUAACACAUGCAAGUCGAGGGGAAACGACAUCGAAAGCUUGCUUUUGAUGGGCGUCGACCGGCGCACGGGUGAGUAACGCGUAUCCAACCUGCCCAUCACUUGGGAAUAACCUUGCGAAAGUAAGACUAAUACCCAAUGAUAUCUCUAGAAGACAUCUGAAGGAGAUUAAAGAUUUAUCGGUGAUGGAUGGGGAUGCGUCUGAUUAGCUUGUUGGCGGGGUAACGGCCCACCAAGGCGACGAUCAGUAGGGGUUCUGAGAGGAAGGUCCCCCACAUUGGAACUGAGACACGGUCCAAACUCCUACGGGAGGCAGCAGUGAGGAAUAUUGGUCAAUGGGCGAGAGCCUGAACCAGCCAAGUAGCGUGAAGGAUGACUGCCCUAUGGGUUGUAAACUUCUUUUAUACGGGAAUAAAGUGAGGCACGUGUGCCUUUUUGUAUGUACCGUAUGAAUAAGGAUCGGCUAACUCCGUGCCAGCAGCCGCGGUAAUACGGAGGAUCCGAGCGUUAUCCGGAUUUAUUGGGUUUAAAGGGAGCGUAGGCGGACGCUUAAGUCAGUUGUGAAAGUUUGCGGCUCAACCGUAAAAUUGCAGUUGAUACUGGGUGUCUUGAGUACAGUAGAGGCAGGCGGAAUUCGUGGUGUAGCGGUGAAAUGCUUAGAUAUCACGAAGAACUCCGAUUGCGAAGGCAGCUUGCUGGACUGUAACUGACGCUGAUGCUCGAAAGUGUGGGUAUCAAACAGGAUUAGAUACCCUGGUAGUCCACACAGUAAACGAUGAAUACUCGCUGUUUGCGAUAUACAGUAAGCGGCCAAGCGAAAGCGUUAAGUAUUCCACCUGGGGAGUACGCCGGCAACGGUGAAACUCAAAGGAAUUGACGGGGGCCCGCACAAGCGGAGGAACAUGUGGUUUAAUUCGAUGAUACGCGAGGAACCUUACCCGGGCUUGAAUUGCAACUGAAUGAUGUGGAGACAUGUCAGCCGCAAGGCAGUUGUGAAGGUGCUGCAUGGUUGUCGUCAGCUCGUGCCGUGAGGUGUCGGCUUAAGUGCCAUAACGAGCGCAACCCUUAUCGAUAGUUACCAUCAGGUUAUGCUGGGGACUCUGUCGAGACUGCCGUCGUAAGAUGUGAGGAAGGUGGGGAUGACGCCAAAUCAGCACGGCCCUUACGUCCGGGGCUACACACGUGUUACAAUGGGGGGUACAGAAGGCAGCUACACGGCGACGUGAUGCUAAUCCCGAAAGCCUCUCUCAGUUCGGAUUGGAGUCUGCAACCCGACUCCAUGAAGCUGGAUUCGCUAGUAAUCGCGCAUCAGCCACGGCGCGGUGAAUACGUUCCCGGGCCUUGUACACACCGCCCGUCA
rnacentral:rRNA from 1 species